rnacentral:rRNA from 1 species
AUACGGAGGGUGCGAGCGUUGUUCGGAAUUACUGGGCGUAAAGGGCGCGCAGGCGGCUUGAUAAGUCAGAUGUGAAAGCCCACGGCUCAACCGUGGAAGUGCAUCUGAAACUGUCUGGCUUGAGUACUGGAGAGGAAAGUGGAAUUCCUGGUGUAGAGGUGAAAUUCGUAGAUAUCAGGAGGAACACCGGUGGCGAAGGCGACUUUCUGGACAGAUACUGACGCUGAGGCGCGAAAGCGUGGGGAGCAAACAGGAUUAGAAACCCCAGUAGUCC